GCUGGUGUAGCUCAGUCGGUAGAGCAACUGAUUCGUAAUCAGUAGGUCGGACGUUCGAUUCGUCUCACCAGCACCA
rnacentral:tRNA from 1 species